UUGACUUUAGAAUAAGGCUGUAAGGUAACAAAAUGUCAGGAAAAAAACAAGGAGUCUGAAUACACUGUAGGUCUCAUCCAAUAAACAGUUCAAUAAAUGUGUUUUUGUGGGCUCUUCACAGGCCAUCAGUUACCUUUCAGAACCUAGUUACAAUAAAAAUGUAUUGUAGUAUAAUCAGUUCUCGUACUUGGGAACUUGCUCCAGGUAAUUCUGGUAGCCAGACGUGUUCUUGCUGUACUGAAUCUGUUUCUGCUGUCGUUUCAGGACCGAUUCAUUGCCUUCUGUGUGAGCUGGAUCCAGGUUUCGUAGGGCCCACCGCAUCCCUGCCUGGGACCUAGGAAAAACAAGCCUUCAUGAUUUCCCUCUAUAAUGUUGCUUGAAAUAAUAUUGUGCAUGGAAAUAGAGAACAUGCAGUACAUUUCAAAAGAGGAAGGGUAAUGUAGAAUGGUAAAUGGUUCAAUUCCACCAAUUGAGGUACUGAGGCCCUUCAGAUGAGUGUGCUUAAUUGUGCUCUUUAGGUUAACAAUGUUUUAUUAUCUACAUUUUAGUCAUUAAGCAGACGUGCUUCUCCAGAGCGACUUGCAGUCGUGAGUGCAUACAUUUUUCAUACUGACCUCCUGAUACCACCCAUGUCCUCUGUUCCAACAGCAACACUGGCAGUAGACAUGCUUAGGAUACAUCGCUCAAGAAUGGAUGACCUGAUGGGAAAAGCAACCAGAGACUCCAUGAACUUAUCCAAUAAGAACCUGAUAUUUUCAUUUGCAAAACAUUUUGCUACGUAUGCACUAAGUCCAAGGAGGAGAAAGUAAAAGCUUACAAGAAGGAGAAGCAGAAAGAAAAGAUUCUUAAAGCAGAGGGGGAUCUCUUCGAGGAGAAUGAUGAAAUCGCUGACAUGAUAGGAUUCUUAGGAUUUGUUUCCUCAAACAAAACAAAAUUACCUAAAGACAUGUAUUUGAUCACAAAGAAAACUUUGCUGUCUGUAGUAUUCUAUUAGUGUCACUAUACUCCCUCUCCGGCCUCUAGGUCAUCAGGCUGCUGAUUAUCCUGCACACCUGUCACCAUCGUCUCGUGCACCUGCGCCUCAUGACACUCACCUGGACUCAAUCACCUCCUUGAUUAACUUCCCUAUAUCUGUCACUCCCCUUGGUUCUUUCCUCAGGUGUUAUUGACUCUGUUUUCAUGCAUUGUUUGUGUUUUGUGUUCCUUUAUUUAUUAAAACACUCACUCCCUGAA